AAGUUAUUAAGUUAUGGUUGAUCAAGAAAUUAAUAAAUCUCGUGUCUCGUCAUGUUUAUCUUUAGGGCAUCUCCAACCAUAACACCAUUUUAGUAUUGAAAUAACACUAUAUUUGGUGUAGUUUUCACACUAAAAUAUUUUUCUUCUCCAACCAUAAAACUAAAUAUCACACUAAAGCUAAUAUUUUCUAUUAUUAUACUAUUAACUAAAAUUUUAAAAUAUUACACAGUAUUAAAAAUAAAUAU
rnacentral:sRNA from 1 species